rnacentral:rRNA from 1 species
UACGGAGGGUGCGAACGUUAAUCGGAAUCACUGGGCGUAAAGCGCACGUAGGCGGAUUGUUAAGUCAGGGGUGAAAUCCUGGAGCUCAACUCCAGAACUGCCUUUGAUACUGGCGAUCUCGAGUCCGGGAGAGGUGAGUGGAACUGCGAGUGUAGAGGUGAAAUUCGUGAUGAUAUCGCAAGAACACCAGUGGCGAAGGCGGCUCACUGGCCCGGUACUGACGCUGAGGUGCGAAAGCGUGGGGAGCAAACAGGG